rnacentral:rRNA from 1 species
UACGUAGGUGGCAAGCGUUAUCCGGAUUUAUUGGGCGUAAAGGGAACGCAGGCGGUCUUUUAAGUCUGGUGUGAAAGCCUUCGGCUUAACCGGAGUAGUGCAUUGGAAACUGGGAGACUUGAGUGCAGAAGAGGAGAGUGGAACUCCAUGUGUAGCGGUGAAAUGCGCAGAUAUAUGGAAGAACACCAGUGGCGAAAGCGGCUCUCUGGUCUGUAACUGACGCUGAGGUUCGAAAGCGUGGGUAGCAAACAGG